rnacentral:rRNA from 1 species
UACGGGGGAGCAAGGCGUUGUUCGGAUUUACUGGGCGUAAAGGGCGCGUAGGCGGUCAGCACAAGUCAGUUGUGAAAUCUCCGGGCUUAACUCGGAAAGGUCAACUGAUACUGUGCGACUAGAGUGCAGAAGGGGCAACUGGAAUUCGUCGGUGUAGCGGUGAAAUGCGUAGAUAUCGAGAGGAACACCUGCGGCGAAGGCGGGUUGCUGGGCUGACACUGACGCUGAUGCGCGAAAGCCAGGGGAGCGAACGGG